rnacentral:rRNA from 1 species
GAUGAACGCUGGCGGCGUGCCUAAUACAUGCAAGUCGAGCGAAUGGAUUAAGAGCUUGCUCUUAUGAAGUUAGCGGCGGACGGGUGAGUAACACGUGGGUAACCUGCCCAUAAGACUGGGAUAACUCCGGGAAACCGGGGCUAAUACCGGAUAACAUUUUGAACCGCAUGGUUCGAAAUUGAAAGGCGGCUUCGGCUGUCACUUAUGGAUGGACCCGCGUCGCAUUAGCUAGAUGGUGAGGUAACGGCUCACCAAGGCAACGAUGCGUAGCCGACCUGGGGGGGUGAUCGGCCACACUGGGACUGAGACACGGCCCAGACUCCUACGGGAGGCAGCAGUAGGGAAUCUUCCGCAAUGGACGAAAGUCUGACGGAGCAACGCCGCGUGAGUGAUGAAGGCUUUCGGGUCGUAAAACUCUGUUGUUAGGGAAGAACAAGUGCUAGUUGAAUAAGCUGGCACCUUGACGGUACCUAACCAGAAAGCCACGGCUAACUCUGUGCCAGCCGCCGCGGUAA